UUCUGUGAAAAAGUUCAAACUUGUUUUUGUAGUUGUAUUAAAAAAGAUGGUUUAUUCUGACAGAUGUUGAAGACAGCAUUUAAAUGAUACACGUCUCUUUUUUAAUAGCUUAAGUUUUUUAUAUGACUUGUAAACUAUGGUUAACACGGAUUUACCAAUGGUUUGUUACUAGUUUGUAAGUUCUUCCCUUAUAAACAAACUAUAUCUUUCAGGUUUUGGGUACACCAACAAGGGAAUAAAUAAAAUGCAUGAAUCCUAACUAUACUGAGUUCAAAUUCCCACAAAUCAAAGCUCAUCCGUGGCACAAGGUACUUGUAAUAUUAGAUAUUCCAUAAACGCAUUCCUCCUGAAGCUGUUGAUCUUGUUUCUAGACUGCUGCAGUACUCUCCUUAUUUACGUUGCACAGCUGUGAGUGAGUAUAUGAAAUUCAUUUUUUUUCCUUUCAACAAAAUUCUCUCUAUGCCUCAUUUAGUAGGAACAUUCCUCCCACGCUGCAAUCACCUUUAAGUAUUUGUUUCUAGAGUACUGAUAUUUUCAUAGUUUCCAACAUCUGGUUGGAACAGGAAUAAAAGAAUGCAUGUGAUGGUUGAAAUAGACUGUCUAAAAGGCCCAAUAAUUUUGGAACUAAUUGACUAAUCUGUACUUGAUUCUUCUGUGUGUAGCCACUAUUGUAGGGAUGGUAGAAAAAGUAUCCCAUAUUUGAAGCUGAGUGGAACCAUGAGUUCAACUUUUUCACGUUUACGUUCUCAAAUUGUUGGUGUCUCUUUCUUCUCAUCAUUUGCACUCUAACUUGCAAAUUGGAUUCCUUUCGAUGCCUUGGCUUGACUCAUCCCUUUUUCAAUGAGCUAUGUGAUCCAAACAUGCGCCUCCCAAAUGGACGUUUCCUUCCUCCAUUGUUCAAUUUUAAACAUCAUGGGUUGAAGGGCGUGCCAGUUGAGACCCUGCUGAAGUUAAUUCCUGAGCAUGCCAGAAAGCAAUGCCCCUUCCUUGGGUUAUAAUCUCUCAAAAUAUGGAACAAAACAUCAAGUUAUUUUUUUAUGCGCGCCGCCUGUUCUCAGGUUCACAUUGUGUAGUUCGUUUGUAUCUCCCUUUUUUUUUUUUUUCAAAAGAUUAGGUAACCUUGACAGGUAUUUUGUUUACCCUGUAUCUAAUCAACUACAGCUUUUGCUAAUAUGUGGAUAAAGAAUGAAUCUCUAUCUGAUUAACUAUUUGAUGUUCGAGU